AGAAAUGAUGUAGAGCACAGCUCCGCAGACAACAGCUAAGCAUCGUGGAAGUAUUAGCUGGCAGCGAUAAGGAGGCGGAAGCAGCGCUCGGUGACAGAGGAGCCAUCUGUCAGGAGCUGGGAAUCCGAUUUCAAGAGAGCAGAAAAUGAAGUACAGAAGAAAGUGAUUUUGGUUCAAAGGUACAGUGAAGCCCAAGGAUAUCUGUGGACAAAAUUGAAGCAAAGGAAGCGUGUGACUGGUUACGUGCAGCUGGAUUUCCCCAAUAUGCUCAGUUCUAUGAGGACUCCCAGUUUCCCAUUGACAUUGCUGCAGUAAAGAAAGAUCAUGAUUUUCUUGACAAGGACCUUGUAGAACCUCUUUGCAG